CUUACAAAAAAAAAAAGAACUCAGCCGCGAAUUUGUUGUAGAAGAAAAGUGUCGACUGGGGUUUCGAUAUCCGAAACCCCACUUUCCAUCGUCUCUGCUGCUCUCAUCACCGAUCUCCUUCCGAAUCUACGCCACACGAGCGAAGCACCACCACGCAGACCUCUCCGGAAAGUCCUGCAUCACUCUCUGCGCACGGCCUAUCACAUUUUCGGCCAGCACCCAUCGCACACAUCCGCUGCAUGCAUUGAUCACGGCACCACAAGAGACCUUCGAGAAUCCAUGUGGGUAAUUUCUUAUUUAUACUUUUAUGUUGUUAUAUAUUUGAUUGUGUUUGAAUCCAUGGAUGUUUUAAGAAAGGGAGGAGGCUUGUUUUUUUUACUAUGGGAGAAAGAGAAGAGAAACAGGAAAAAUUGUUGUUGUCUCGUGAAAAGAAAAAGAGAGAUUAUGGCUUGA